GACAGAGGGUGCAAACGUUGUUCGGAAUUACUGGGCGUAAAGCGCGUGUAGGCUGCUUGGCAAGUCGGAUGUGAAAGCCCUGGGCUCAACCCAGGAAGUGCAUUCGAAACUUCCGAGCUCGAGUUCUGGAGAGGAUAGCGGAAUUCCCGGUGUAGAGGUGAAAUUCGUAGAUAUCGGGAGGAACACCGGUGGCGAAGGCGGCGACCUGGGUCGAUACUGACGCUGAUGCGCGAAAGCGUGGGUAGCAAACAGG
rnacentral:rRNA from 1 species